rnacentral:lncRNA from 1 species
AAAUGUGUGGUAGAAAUGUGAAAAUAAUGGAAAAUGUGGGCUACCAUAAGAGGGAAAAGUGUUUGGCUAGGCUUGAGUAAGGUAGAAAUUGCAUGCGUUUCAUCGUACGAGCUCAGGGACUAAAUCGUAAAAAAGUGAAAGGUUAGGGGCAAAACGAUCAUUUGGACCGGGGUGGAAUUUAUACUUGAAAUGUAUAAUGUGGAGUGUUAAUGAUCUAUUUUUAUUGUUAUAGACCCC